UACAGAGGGUGCGAGCGUUAAUCGGAUUUACUGGGCGUAAAGCGUGUGUAGGUGGCUACCUAAGUCGAUUGUGAAAUCCCUGGGCUCAACCUGGGAAUUGCAGUCGAUACUGGGAAGCUCGAGUUCGGUAGAGGACGGCGGAAUUCCCGGUGUAGCGGUGAAAUGCGUAGAUAUCAGGAGGAACACCAAUUGAGAAGGCAGCUCGCUGGGACGUUACUGACGCUGAGACGCGAAAGCGUGGGGAGCAAACAGG
rnacentral:rRNA from 1 species